rnacentral:rRNA from 1 species
CAGUCGCCGCGGGAAUACAGAGGAUGCAAGCGUUAUCCGGAAUUAUUGGGCGUAAAGGGCUCGCAGGCGGUUUCUUAAGUCUGAUGUGAAAGCCCCCGGCUCAACCGGGGAGGGUCAUUGGAAACUGGGAAACCUGAGUGCAGAAGAGGAGAGUGGAAUUCCACGUGUAGCGGUGAAAUGCGUAGAGAUGUGGAGGAACACCAGUGGCGAAGGCGACUCUCUGGUCUGUAACUGACGCUGAGGAGCGAAAGCGUGGGGAGCGAACAGGAUUAGAUACCCCGGUAGUCCCUGUCUCUUAUAC